UCCGUAGGGUGCGAGCGUUAUUCGGAAUUACUGGGCGUAAAGCGUGCGCAGGCGGCUUCGCAAGUCAGACGUGAAAGCCCCGGGCUUAACCUGGGAAUGGCGUUUGAAACUACGGAGCUGGAGUAUGGCAGAGGGGGGUGGAAUUCCACGUGUAGCGGUGAAAUGCGUAGAUAUGUGGAGGAACACCGAUGGCGAAGGCAGCCCCCUGGGCCAAUACUGACGCUCAUGCACGAAAGCGUGGGGAGCAAACAGG
rnacentral:rRNA from 1 species